rnacentral:lncRNA from 1 species
GAAGAGCCAUUCACUAGGUGUGUGUCCUGCCUCCCUGAUUCCUGACAUGGCUGUAACUCUUCCUCCAGGCUCUGCUUUUUACCUCCGGGCCUUGCUUUCAGCUCCACUUUGCCUCAAUCUGCUUUUCACUUAGGCCUUUAUUGAUAAUUAUCUUUUUAAUAUACGAUUGCCAAAAUUAAAAGAAAUAUUCCCCCUUUCCUUGUCAAUGAAUUUCUGACUCGGAUGGUCCAAUGCUCGUUUCCUUUAACAGCUGCUGUCUGCUUCUCCUUGUGUCUGAAAGAGGGACCAGGAGAGCAGAGCUCCCUAAGCUAGAGGGACACAAAGCUUUCCUCUCUGUGGUUUGCCCCUUACAUGCUGAGCCAUCCAUCUAUCAGCUUGUCCUUCUCACAGGUAUACUCUUGGUCAUGGCUGGCUCCAGGAGAUUACUUGUCUCGCUACUGAAUUUUCUUUAUAUGUUUUUUUUUAAGUGUGUAUGAAAUUAUAGUCUUGAGCUUUCCUUUUUCAUACACAAACUAAUCAUUAUGAAACCCAAUAAUGAUCCCUGAGGGAAAAACCACAUGGAGCAAAAGAGCUCAGACGUGGAGUGAGGGUGUUGGACAACAGACAUCGUUCUGGGACCUGUGGACACAAUUCUCUCCGGGGGGGUGCACUUGGGCUCGUGUGUCCCGGAUCGGCUGCUGCUGUGGCAUUCUACUGGUGCUGAGGGAGAGGGCUGGAGUAAUGCUCGCAUUUGCCUCAUGCAGCCUCGUUGUUUGAUGUGAAACAUGGUUCUUGGGCUGGCAUUUUGCAGCAGCUACGUCAGUUGGUGGCAUAUUUCUGAUACUCUCUUCACGUCUUGCUGUUAACCAGCAGGAAGAUGACCUGAAACAGUGGGAAUUAGAAAGCUGUCCUUUGCUAGUGACAGAAGAGCCAAAGAUGGACAGGGCUCAGGUGGUCCAAAAGAGCUAUCUUCUUUUUGUUUUGUUUUGUUCUGUUUUCUCUUUUUUUUUGAGUGGUUAUGGCCACGCCUGGCUUCCAAGUUUUCAAAAUCCUAGUAGACACAAGAAAACAUUUCUUUUCAGUUUAUUGUGACACACAUAUAAGUCUUCAAAGCACUGUGUGCAGAAUAGUUUCCAAAUAUAAAGCUUGUGAGCAAGGUAGACAUUGCUGAGGUUCAUCUCCUAUGACCCUUUCUGUAGUGAGUAUGGCUGUGCCCUCAGAGAACAGAGACAUGGAGAAGCAUCUGAUUACAUCCAUUUCUCUCCAGGCUGACUCGACUGCCGCCACAAUACAUGGAUGUUGUGUUGCCACAUGGUGUCUACUUGUUGUGAAAUAGAAAUCUUGCUACACUUAAUCAUGUGCAUCCAGUAUGUUUGCUGGAUGACCCUAGGCCCACUGGAAUAUUUCACAACUCAUUCUAGACUUGUUUGGAAGCCUGGCUUCUCUGUUUCAGUCAAUAAAACCUGCAAGUAACCAUUUGCAAAGAAGAAGUGGAAACA